AAAUCACCCUUCCCAGACUCCCAGGCUCCUAUGGCUAAGGUUUCCCGAGGUGAUUUGGCUUUGCAUGUUUGCCAUGUUUCCAGACUCUGCCAACUGGAUGCUUUAACACAUGCCCUGCAUGGAGAUGCUGAACAUGCCUUAUACUGGACAACCCAGUAAGAUGCCCGAGUCACUGUGCCUUGGCCUCCUGCUUCCCUUGUUGCUCUCCCCUUCCUUGGGGAACAGCUUCCUCUCAGGGGCUUGCUUUUCAAAUACAAACCAACCAACCAAGCCAGAGUUCACACCUCCAACAACCUCCAUUUUCAGGCUCUCACCCACUGCCCCAAUCACCCCAGGGCGGGCACCGGAUAGCCAGGGGCGGUCCUAUGCCCACAGCCUACUGAAAUUUUCCAAACUGGCCAAUCCUAAACCUGCUUACCCUGCCUGACCUGUUCCUUCCUGCUGUUGUUGUUGUUGUUGUUGAGACAGAGUUUCGCUCUUGUUGCUCAGGCUGGAGUGCAGUGGCGCUGUCUUGGCUCACUGCAACCUCCGCCUCUCAGGUUCAAGUGAUUCUCUUGCCUCAGCCUCCCAAGUAGCUGGGAUUAGAGGCACGCACCACCACGCCCAGCUAAUUUUUUUUUUUUUUUUUUUAAUAGAGAUGGAUCUGAAUCAAGUCUUUAAUUUCAUCCAAUUUCAGUCUUUUGCUGCUUUCCAGCUUCACCUGUCAGGAGGGGAGGGCGAACACACAGCCUUCCACAUUUUUAGGUAUUUGUUGUAGCAACAUCCCCCUUCUGGUAACCAAUAUCUUAAUCAGAUAAAGGCACUAGCAGGUUUGGUGUCUGGAGAGGUCUCUGUCUCUGCCUCCAAGAUGGUACCUUGCAUGCUGCUUCCUCUGAAAGAGGGGACAAAGGCUGUGACCUUACAUGCAGAAGGGACAGAAUGUCAGAAGAACCCAGCUAGCUCCUUGCGGCCCUUUCAUAAGGCACUAAUGCCAUCUAGCCCUUCUGCCCAAAGUAAGCUCUGAGCUCUCAUCUACAAAUCCAAAAUCAAAGGACUCAGUGAAAUGAAGGGGAGGUUUUUCCUUUAACAGUACAGCAUUUUGUGUUUACUCUCUAACGCAUCCUUUCAGCCUCCUGAGUAGCUGGGACUACAGGUGCCCACCACCACGCCUGGCUAGUUUUUUUGUAUUUUUUUUAGUAGAGACGGGGUUUCACCGUGUUAGCCAGGAUGGUCUUCAUCUCCUGACCUCGUGAUCUGCCCACUUUGGCUCUACAGUACAAAUUUGCUUUCCUGGUGCUCUUGAGAUUAAUUCCCCAAAUUAGUGUCAAGUGUCUUCUUUUAAUCAUCUCAAAAAUAAUGGUAAUAAUGAAGCUGGAAUGUUAGGAAGGAAGGAAGGAAGGAGAAAGAAAGAGAGAAAGAGAAAGAGAAGGAAUAGAGAGAGAAAGGCAGGGGGUGAGAAGGACAGGAAAAUAGCAUUAAAGCAGGCCAAGCUUUGAGUGUUUCACUAGCUCAUCAUGGCACAAACUGCAGUCUCCAUCCAGAAAGCCUGUACCCCUCAGUGACCUAUUGCAUUCAGGCUAGCUUUGUGUGGAACACAAGUCAUUGAGGGGCCGCAUAAAAGCUUAUUGAUUAUCAAUGCUCCAUUCUGUGCUAGGUACUUAGACAAGGGGGGGAAAGGAAAAGUAUAAAUAAGC
rnacentral:lncRNA from 10 species